rnacentral:rRNA from 1 species
UACGUAGGGGACGAGCGUUGUCCGGAAUUACUGGGGCGUAAAGGGCGCGCAGGCUGCGUUACAAGUCAGCUGUUAAAUGCAUGGGCUUACCCCAUGAGUGCGGUUGAAACUGUAGUGCUAGAGUACUGUAGAGGCAAGCGGAAUUCCCAGUGUAGCGGUGAAAUGCGUAGAUAUUGGGAGGAAUACCGGUGGCGAAGGCGACUUUCUGGACUGUAACUGACACUGAGGCACGAAAGCGUGGGUAGGCAAACAGGAUUAGAUACCCCGGUAGU